rnacentral:snoRNA from 14 species
UUCCGUUGAUGACUUUCUGAUAGUGCCACGUGUCUGGGCCACUGAGUCCUCAUGAUGGAACUGAGGAUCUGAGGAA